GACGAACCGUCCUAACGUUGUUCGGAAUCACUGGGCUUAAAGGGCGCGUAGGCGGACCACAAAGUCCGGGGUGAAAUCUUUCGGCUUAACCGGAAAAUUGCCUUGGAUACUGGUGGUCUCGAGGGAGGUAGGGGCAUGUGGAACUUCCGGUGGAGCGGUGAAAUGUGUUGAUAUCGGAAGGAACGCCGGUGGCGAAAGCGACGUGCUGGACCUCUUCUGACGCUGAGGCGCGAAAGCCAGGGGAGCAAACGGG
rnacentral:rRNA from 1 species